GGGACACGUGGUAUCCUGUCUGAAUAUGGGGGGACCAUCCUCCAAGGCUAAAUACUCCUGACUGACCGAUAGUGAACCAGUACCGUGAGGGAAAGGCGAAAAGAACCCCGGCGAGGGGAGUGAAAAAGAACCUGAAACCGUGUACGUACAAGCAGUGGGAGCACAGAGCAAUCUGUGUGACUGCGUACCUUUUGUAUAAUGGGUCAGCGACUUAUAUUCUGUAGCAAGGUUAACCGAAUAGGGGAGCCGAAGGGAAACCGAGUCUUAACUGGGCGUUAAGUUGCAGGGUAUAGACCCGAAACCCGGUGAUCUAGCCAUGGGCAGGUUGAAGGUUGGGUAACACUAACUGGAGGACCGAACCGACUAAUGUUGAAAAAUUAGCGGAUGACUUGUGGCUGGGGGUGAAAGGCCAAUCAAACCGGGAGAUAGCUGGUUCUCCCCGAAAGCUAUUUAGGUAGCGCCUCGUGAAUUCAUCUCCGGGGGUAGAGCACUGUUUCGGCAAGGGGGUCAUCCCGACUUACCAACCCGAUGCAAACUGCGAAUACCGGAGAAUGUUAUCACGGGAGACACACGGCGGGUGCUAACGUCCGUCGUGAAGAGGGAAACAACCCAGACCGCCAGCUAAGGUCCCAAAGUCAUGGUUAAGUGGGAAACGAUGUGGGAAGGCCCAGACAGCCAGGAUGUUGGCUUAGAAGCAGCCAUCAUUUAAAGAAAGCGUAAUAGCUCACUGGUCGAGUCGGCCUGCGCGGAAGAUGUAACGGGGCUAAACCAUGCACCGAAGCUGCGGCAGCGACGCUUAUGCGUUGUUGGGUAGGGGAGCGUUCUGUAAGCCUGUGAAGGUGUGCUGUGAGGCAUGCUGGAGGUAUCAGAAGUGCGAAUGCUGACAUAAGUAACGAUAAAGCGGGUGAAAAGCCCGCUCGCCGGAAGACCAAGGGUU
rnacentral:rRNA from 1 species